GCAUGUGCAGAAUAUUACUGUGAAUGAGGUCUCGGGUCAAGGCUUUAAGUUUGAUAUUGUUUUGGUUGUCAUUUUACGUGCAUAAACCUAUGUAAAUCAUGAUGUUCAUUAAAAUUGAAGUGGGACUGAUUUGAGUAUCAAUAUUUUGUCUAAACGAAUCCAUGAAAUACACCCCAAAAAGUGUUACAUGAUCCAUAAAUUUUCCUAUGUUUUCAAGUGGAACUAUUGGUGAGGGCUUAGGUGUCGUUCUACCAUCACCGGCGCUAGCACUGAUGCAGCGUCGUCUCACCCGCUGCGGCG
rnacentral:misc_RNA from 1 species